rnacentral:rRNA from 1 species
AUGGCAUGUGCAUUGUCUAUGCCUAUUAUUUGCUCACAUGACAUGAUUGCCAUGAUUUCCUCUAGUAUGUUGCAUCUUCACACUACUAGCUUGCAUGACUUGAUUACUAUGAUUACUUGCCUUGUUGCAUCACUGAUGAUUCAUACUUGCUCACUUCAUGCGGUUGAUGACAACCAUCUACAUGCUUUGCACAUGAUUGUUAUUGCUUCUUGUCAUAUAUCUCCAUAUGUUGCCUCCCUCAUGCUAGAUGAUUUGACAUGUAUUGAGUGCAACAAUGCCUUUAGUCUUGAUAAUGAGUUUGUCCACAUAGCAUUCUCACAUAUAUUCGGAGAUUUUGACAUAUUCCUUAUGAAGCAUGCUUGUCUUACCUCUUUGCACCAUAUACCUAGUGCCAUGAAUAUUGCCAUUGUUGAAUCAUAUUAUUCAUGCACUUGUGCUUCUAAUGGUUAUGUGCAAAAGAAAAGAACCAUCAUGAUGGAUGAUGUGUUUAUCUACCAUGCGCAUACAUUCUUUGCUUUCUUGUGCGCAUGUGUAGGAUACUUGUACUUUGUGUCGACUUCCGCUUCACGUGAGUUGACAAUUCGAGCUCUUGAGAGCGAGCCGCAUACAUUCGACAAUGACUCGCUCCUACACCACCUUUCAUACCACUUCGGCAUUGUGAAGGACGCACAAGAACAUGCUUUCAAGGUGAUAUCCUUCUCUUUUGAGAACCCCCAAACCAUGAGCAUGGAUAUCACGGAUCAUACUACUUGUGUUGCUUGCACCAUGAGACUUAUUGUUCAUCUUGGACCACUUGAUUGCACACAUGUUAGAGAUCUUGCUUCGACUUGUCAUUUUCACUGUUACAUGCAUCAUGAUAUAUAUGCCUUGUGUGUUGCAUCCAAUUCUUGGAUUACUUGCUCCUAUCAUAUGUUUGGUUGCAACAAUGUCAUCACUUCACAAAUGCCAUGUCCCAUUGAUUGCUACAUGCUUGCCUUGAUUGCCUCACACAUGAUGAACAAUGCUCUUUCCAUUGUGUUGAGUGCCAAACAAUAUUCACUACACCGCAUGCACAUUAUGCUUGGAUUGUCUUGCACUUGA